rfam:Picea glauca, whole genome shotgun sequence.
AUGUACAUUCCUACAAUAUAGAGUUAAUGCAUCGGGUCCCAUUAGAACUCCACAGUCAUGUGCGCUCGGGCUAGAAUAGUAUUGGGAUGGGUGACUGCCCGUGAAGUAAUAGUAUUUUACAUG